GAUGAAGAACGUAGCGAAAUGCGAUAAGUAAUGUGAAUUGCAGAAUUUAGUGAAUCAUCGAAUCUUUGAACGCACAUUGCGCCCGCUGGUAUUCCGGCGGGCAUGCCUGUUCGAGCGUCAUUUCAACCCUCAAGCCCCCGGGUUUGGUGUUGGGGAUCGGCUCUGCCCUUCUGGGCGGUGCCGCCCCCGAAAUACAUUGGCGGUCUCGCUGCAGCCUCCAUUGCGUAGUAGCUAACACCUCGCAACUGGAACGCGGUGCGGCCAUGCCGUAAAACCCCAACUUCUGAAUGUUGACCUCGGAUCAGGUAGGAAUACCCGCUGAACUUAAGCAUAUCAAUAAGCGGAGGA
rnacentral:misc_RNA from 1 species